rnacentral:ncRNA from 1 species
UGGUUCCUUAGAUCGUCUCAUCCUACUCGGAUAACUGUGGAAAAUCUAGAGCUAAUACGUGCUUACAAGCCCUGACCUCACGGGAGGGGCGCAUUUAUUAGAUCAAAACCAAUCGGGGCUUGCCCCGUCUGCUUGGUGACUCUGGAUAACUUUUGUGCUGAUCGCAUGGCCUCUGCGCUGGCGACGUAUCUUUCAAG